AUUGAACGCUGGCGGCAUGCCUAACACAUGCAAGUCGAACGAGUGGCGGACGGGUGCGUACUGUCUAGGAACCUGCCCGAUGGAUGGGGAUAACUACUGGAAACGGUAGCUAAUACCGCAUACCAUCGGCUUUGCCCAGAGGGGAUUAGCUUGUAGGUGAGGUAACGGCUCACCUAGUCUACGAACCCUAGCGGGUCUGAGAGGAUGACCAGCCACACUGGAACUGAGACACGGUCCAGACUCCUACGGGAGGCAGCAGUGGGGAAUAUUGCACAAUGGGCGCAAGCCUGAUGCAGCAAUGCCGCGUGUAUGAAGAAGGCCUUCGGGUUGUAAAGUACUUUCAGCGGGGAGGCGUUACCCGCAGAAGAAGCACCGGCUAACUCCGUGCCAGCCGCCGCGGUAAUAC
rnacentral:rRNA from 1 species